AUUGAACGCUAGCGGGAUGCCUUACACAUGCAAGUCGAACGAGUGGCGGACGGGUGAGUACUAUAUUGGAACGUGCCCAGCAGCGGGGGAUAACUACUCGAAAGAGUGGCUAUUACCGCUUACUAUGGGAGCGGACGUUGUCGGAUUAGCGAGGUGGGGGGGUAAAGGCGGACCAAGGCAACGAUCCGGAGCUGGUUUGAGAGGACGACCAGCCACACUGGGACUGAGACACGGCCCAGACUCCUACGGGAGGCAGCAGUGGGGAAUGUAGGACAAUGGGGGAAGCCCUGAUCCAGCCAUCCCGCGUGUAUGAGAGGGCCUUCAGGUUGUAAAGUACUUUUGGCAGAGAAGCGGUAUCUGCAGAAUAAGCGCCGGCUAACUACGUGCCAGCAGCCGCGGUAAUUC
rnacentral:rRNA from 1 species